rnacentral:lncRNA from 1 species
UUUUUUUUUUUGUCUUUUUGCCAUUUCUUGGGCCGCUCCAGCGGCAUAUGGAGGUUCCCAGGCUAGGGGUUGAAUCGGAGCUGUAGCUGCCAGCCUACGCCAGAGCCACAGCAAUGCAGGAUCUGAGCUGCAUCUGCGACCUAUACCACAGCUCACGGCAAAGCCGGAUCUUUAACCCACUGAGCAAGGGCAGGGAUCGAACCCGCAACCUCAUGGUUCCUAGUCAGAUUUGUUAACCACUGUGCCACGACGGGAACUCCAGCAACACUAGAUUCUUAACUCAAUGAGUGAGGUCAGAGAUCAAACAUGCAUCCUCUUGGAUACUAGCUGGAUUUGUUUCUGUUGCACCACAGCAGGAACUCCUAAAUAUUUUAAAAUAUAUCUUGUAUGGCAAAGAAAUAUUUUUCUCAACAAUUGAUAUUUAAAGGACAAAGAGUAGCAUGGGGCCAUAGUUUUCAUUAAGCUGAAACAUUAUGAGACAGACCAUCUUCCUAUAAGUUAGAGCAGAACAUUAGGACUGUGAAGUAAAGAGGGGUUACAUAAUGUAAUGGUUAGUACUCGGCUCUGACAGUGAAGUAAGUUUUUUUCUCUGAAUAUCAUCAGAAGACUAGGUAGAAAAUACAGGCGACAUUUAUAAAAUAUUACUUAAAUUGAAAACAAAAUUUUGCUAUUUUCAAAACAUGUUUUAAGUAUCAUUUGUAGAGUACAUGGCUGGAGGAAGAGGUAGAGAAAAUGCCAUGGAGAAAUCUAUCUACAUUAUCUCCACAUCUGUACAGCUUUAUAUGAGAAUGUUACCAGUGUUUCCUGCUAUAACAAUUUCAGAGGACACUACUUAUAAGAAAGAAAACAGAGGGGCCACAGUGUGAAUCUCUUUUGGUGAUUUAAUCACAGACAUUAAAGAAAGCGGGAUCCUGAUCAGUGCCAGCCACCAGCUGCAAAUACAAUAACUGCAAAAUUUAUUUUUGCAAAUAUACUGGCAAUUUUAUAACUCUGUGAAUGAAUACUAAGGAAAGCCUAUUCAUUCAGUAUUUUUACUGAAGCAGGCAUUGAGUUCCAUAGAGUGCAACUGCUGCUAGAGUUCAAUUUUAAUGUUAUCUUGAAAAGAUACACAGAAAUACAAUUAUAUUUUAAGUGUCCCAAGGAAUCUUUACUUUUAGGAAGAAUAUACUCUAUGUCCUCUUGUAAAAUAAAAAUUUAAUCCCCUAAAGGAUUAAUAAGAUUUCUCUGUAUCUUUUUGCAAAUUCCUGUAAAUUUAUAAUUAUUUCAAAAUAAAUUUUGAGCCAAUUUACUCUUCAAUUCACAAUAUUAUAAAGUUGGGUUUUUAUGAAUUGUUUUCUUUUUUCAAAGAAUGAACUUGCUUCAACUCAUACUUAUUGGCAUACAGGAUGAUGACUAGUUUUUCAUUCAUUCAAAAAAUAUUUAUUUAUAGUAAAAAUAUUUACAAUGUGGCAGAACUUGGGCUAGGGCUGAGCAUAAUGUGAAGCCUCAAGUGCCCAGAACUUACACUGUCUUGGGUGGUAAUAGCCAAUAAACUGAAAGAAACUGCCAGGUGUUAAUGCUAUGAGGAAGAAUAAGAAACAAAAAGGCAGGGUAAGGGAAUAGACAUUGACAUAACAAGAGAGGGGUCACUAUCUUGGAUCUUGCGUAGAGUAUCAGAGGAGAUUCUUUCUGAGAAGAUGACAUGAGAACACAGAACCAUAGGAAUUAAAGGAAAAUUUAUGUGAAAAUCUGGGAGAAGAAUUUGAUUAUAUAUUUCAAUACACUAAUUGUUUUGAAUUAGGAAAUCACCAUUAUAAGGACAUAUAUUAUUUUUUAAAUAUAAGAGAGAUAGAUUAUGUAUAAUCCUUGAUUCAUAUCCAUACUUUAGCAUACGAUUUAGAAUUGCAACUAUGGAGUUUAGAAAAUGUUCAAAUCUCUAUUAUUUACUGUCCAUAAGAUUUCAAUAUGUUAUUUUUAUCUCUUUUAGCCUUAGUUCCUCAUCUGUAAGAUAGCGGUAACAAUAUAAAUAGCGAGAACUAAAUAAAUAGCGAUAAACUAAAUUAACUAAAUAAUAGCGAUAAGUAAGAUAAUAUACAUAUAAAGUUUAACAAAAAAUAAGUGCUCAAUGUAGUAGCAAUUAUUAACAGUAAUAAAUAAAUUUAAGUUAGAACUCCACUCCCAUUGUCUUAGAGAAUAUUUCUUUAUCCAUUCACUCAAAUGCAAUUUUAUUAAUCCCUAACUUAUGUGUUAAAUACCAUGAUUUGUGGCAGGAAUACCAAAAUUUAAGGAAUACCAAUGUAUUUCUUAUUGGCCCGGAACACAAAAAAUAUAAUACACUGCUAUAAUUGUCAUAAUAAAGAAGAUAAAGUAAAUCUACUCUAUUUAAGGGACUGAGUAAGGUUUGACAAAGGAGGAGGGCAUAAAAUUGAACCUUGUAGGAUAAAUAGGAGUCGACCAGGUAAAUGAAAUGAAAGAAGCAAAGCAAGCAGAGCAGAAGGCAUACAGUAAAGUCAAAGAGAGACAAGAAAAAUCAAGAAAAAAAAAGAGGUACUUUUAGAUAACUUUGACUAAAUCACAAGAUAUCUGUAAAGGAAAGAGUUGAAGUUGUAAUUGCAGGUUAGAAGUAAAUAAUGCGGGCUCUUAUAUUCCUUCAGGUUACAUGCUACCCCAAAGAAUCUAGACUUUGUUCCGCAAAAUUCUGAAGGUGAUGUGUGAUUGUGUUUCCAUUUCAAAAACCUCAUUUGGCAGCCCUGUGGGGAAGAGUAUAGAGAGGAGUUGCUAACAUUGGGAUCAGGAGACUUUCCACAAUGUUUCAAAAGUUCCUGGCUUGGGUCUGGUGAGAAAGAGGAAAAAGAAGAAACUCAGAAAUAGAAAAAGAAAUGGAAUACAUUUCCAAUUCAAUCAUUUAGUCCAAAGAAAUUAGUGAUCACUAACACACUACUAUUUCCAGUUCCAGAACACUGCCAAAUAUCAGAUUUUAACUAAUACUACUUUGUGGCUGAUUAGCUAUGGAAGAGGGAGGAAGAAGGAGUCUAGGCCCUCUCUUAAAUAUCUGGGUUAAAUGAAGCUGAAAGAGAGAGUAGAGUAAUGGAAAAGGAAUACAUUUAGAAAGGAGAACUUUGAAUUUAGUUCUAUAGAGGAAUGAACAUGUGGGCCUGAUUUGCAGGGGUUCCAAGUCUGGAGAAAGACAUUGUCACUGUCUUGCUAGUGGAAAUUAAACAGGUAAAGUUUGAACAUGGUCUCCUCAGGAGAGCACAUAGAGUGGGAACUGAGCAAAUUGAUGAGACUGUGAAGGAGAGAAGCCACAGGGUCCAAGUGAAGUGAGGAAGAAAUGGUCCUUAUUAUCUCUAGGUUACCUCUUUAAAACGUUCCUCAGGAUUUCAUUCUUGGCCACAUUCUCCUUUCAUGUGCUACACACUGCUUCUCUAUUUCAAAAUCACAUCUAUAAAGGUAAGUCCUGCAAAUCCUAUCUUCAAUUCUGGAUGAAUCCAAACAUUUAGUCUUGACCAGCAAAAGUGUUCUUUAUUUUUAUUUAUUUUAAAUUUUUUUUUACCUGUGGCAUAUGGAAGUUCCUGGGCUGGGGGUUGAUCAGAGCUGCAGCUUCAGGCCUAUGCCACAUCCACAACAACACUGGAUCCAAGUCUCAUCUGUGACAUACACUCUAGCUUGUGGCAAUGCCUGAUCCUUAACCCACGGAGCAAGGGCAGGGAUUGAACCCACAUCCUCACAGAGGCAAUGUGUCCUUAACCUGCUGAGCCACAAUGGGAACUCUAAAUGUAUUCUUUAAAUGAUCUCAACAUAUUUGGCAGCCAGAGCAGUCAGUCAGAUGAACCAGAGAUAGGCAUUUGAGACAAUGAAAUAUACAUUUAACUUGUCUGCAUGCCUGAUACAAUGUUGUGCACCUAACAAGUGCUCAAUAAAUAUUUGAUGAGCAAAUACUAAUCCAGCUCUAGUUUAUGGCUUUAUCAUUUUGGCCUUAAAUGAAACAGGGAAAUAUAGCCAUGACAGAUCUCAAUUUAAUAUUUUUGAAAAGUCUAUUUGACCAUUGGAAACAAAGUUAAAAUAUUUCCAUUUGAAGAUGUCCUCGUUGACUGUGUAAAAAGUGAGUUAUUAAUAUACUGGGAUUAUUUUUUUCAAAAUCAUACAAUCUUGUUCAUUAAGCUCCAAAUAAUUGCAAAUAAUUACAAAACAACAGAUAUGCAUUUCCAGAAAAAUUUGAUGUAGAAUGAUCUGAGUUUUGAUGUUAUUUUGCCUCUAGCAGAAGCAAUCCAUAUUCCAUGUUUUCCACAAAACUCAUUUUACAAAUAAUACUGAAACAAAGGGUUUAAACAUGAAGAGAUGUCCAAAUGGCUUAUCUGCCCUUAAUGUGGAGUACCCAAAACUUCAAUUAGUUACAAAAAGUAAUGAACUCUGGGGUAGUGCAUAUCUUAAAAGCUAUUCCACAGACUGUUUAAAAAUAUAUAUCAUAUUCUGAUAUAAUAAUUGUGUUUUAAAAGCUUUUGUUUAAUAGAGUGCCCAAAUUAGAUAUGUUAAAUUAUUUUACUUUGUAAAGCACUUGCAAACAUCACACACCAGAAGAGUCAUAUAUACACCAACUCAAAUCAUUAUUUUUCCAUCUUCACUCACUAUUUGUAAUGUCCUGUCAAUGAUAAUGUCAUACAAAAUCUAAGAGUGAGGAACACACCCUAUAAAGCAAUAGCAAGUCUUUAAGCAGGUAGAACAGUAUGAAAGGAUAUGAAUUCACUAAUACAGAAAAAUAAAUCAGACCAGGAGAAACAUGCUUAUUAACAGCUUAUGUUUUAAAAGGAAUAGGUUAUAUAUGAGUUAUCAGAGAUUAAAUUACCAUAAUAUGAUAUGUAUACAAUGUUUUGCCUUAAAUAUUACAAAACAAUUUUUUUGGGGAAAAAAGCAUCAAAUAAUUAAUAGUAUAAUAGCAUUCUGACAAAAUUGUUAAGAAAGCAUUCAAAAGCUUUGAAGCUAACAACUCAGGAAUAUGUAUUAAUAUUAAUUGGAGAAGAUCCAUAUGAUUUAGUAAAAAAAUGAACUUAUAGGACAUUUUAAUUUACAUGUGGUUUUCUAACAUGAUAAUUCUAAAUAUGUAACUGAUACCAGUCUUGCUAAGCAGAGGUUUUACUGAGCUUAAGCUAAGGAUAGAUGUGACUCAUUUAUAACAGACAUAUUAUUUAUUACACGUAAAUGCAUACUUUAAAAUUCUAAAAUGUAAUGUGCAUCUUAAUUGGUAAGUUAAAUAUUUCUCCUUGAGAUUUUAUUCAUGCUAUCCAUUUAUUUACUUUCAGUUCUUUCAUGGCUAGUAUAAAGGUAAAUGUUGGCUCCAUGACUAUGUAUCAGUGAGGUUUAAAUUAAUAAGAUUAAGGGUUAAAAAAAAUCAACAUAUAUGAAUUAGAAUGAUUUAUUAAGCAUGAAGAGUGUUCAAGAAAUAUUUGUCAUAAUUAUUAUAACAUCUAUUGCCCUUGGUUUCCUUGUUAAUUCCAUAAAAGCUUUCUUAAUGUUAUAUAGUUGAAUACUUAACAGCAAGAAAUUGGCAAUUAUCUUUUCUUCUCUUACACUGGUGAAGUAAAAUCAUUUUGUUGUUUUAAGGGUAAAAUUGACUGAAUUAGGUAAAAUUUUAGUAUGGGGAAAUAGUCCCAUUCAUUAUAAUUCUCAACAUUACCAGCAUAAAGAAUACUAUAAAGAAUAUUAAAAUUUUUGUCUUUUGGUGAAAGAUUUCCCCUACUAUUUCAGUGUUUUCAGUAUUUAAUUUAGAGGUAGACAAUGAGAAGAGGAUAAACCAGGAUAGGGAUGCAGCCAAAGAGAAAGAUGAAGAAGACUUUAAAACAAAAUUAUGGCUUAUAAUUUAUCUUUGACAUAAAUAGACAACCAUGCUUAGUAUGGUUUUAGAACUUCUGACUCAUGGAAAAGUAAGCUUCCCUAUGUUCUGUCACUUUGUUUUAGUUUAACAAACUAUCUUUCCCAUCCUUACUGCCCUGUCUUUCUUGCUUCUUGUUUGAACUACUUAGUAACAUUCAUUAUGGCCUUUUAUUUUAAACUCACCAAGUUAUGAUGGCCUUUUAAGCCUUCUGUUUCUCAGUUUUCC